AUUGAACGCUAGCGGCAUGCCUUACACAUGCAAGUCGAACGGAGUGGCGAACGGGUGAGUAAUGUAACGGAACGUGCCCAGGAGCGGGGGAUAACUACGCGAAAGCGUAGCUAAUACCGCACGCUUUUGGAGCGGCUGAUAUCGGAUUAGCUAGUUGGUGGGGUAACGGCUCACCAAGGCGACGAUCCGUAGCUGGUUUGAGAGGACGACCAGCCACACUGGGACUGAGACACGGCCCAGACUCCUACGGGAGGCAGCAGGGGGGAAUUUUGGACAAUGGGGGAAACCCUGAUUCAGCCAUCCCGCGUGUGAGAUUAAUGCCUUCGGGUUGUAAAGCACUUUUGGCAGGAAAGCGGUACCUGCAGAAUAAGCACCGGCUAACUACGUGCCAGCAGCCGCGGUAAUAC
rnacentral:rRNA from 1 species